rnacentral:rRNA from 1 species
CAAAGCGGAGGAAAAGAAACCAACAGGGAUUGCCUUAGUAACGGCGAGUGAAGCGGCAAAAGCUCAAAUUUGAAAUCGGCCACCAGGUCGAGUUGUAAUUUGUAGAUUGUAUCUUGAGAGCGGAUUAAAGUCUGUUGGAACACAGCGCCUUAGAGGGUGACAGCCCCGUAAAAUCUAUUCUCAUUGUAAGAUACUUUCGAAGAGUCGAGUUGUUUGGGAAUGCAGCUCUAAGUGGGAGGUAAAUUCCUUCUAAAGCUAAAUAUUGACGAGAGACCGAUAGCGAACAAGUACUGUGAAGGAAAGAUGAAAAGCACUUUGAAAAGAGAGUGAAAAAGUACGUGAAAUUGUUAAAAGGGAAGGGUAUUGAAUCAGACUUGGUGCUGUUGUUCAACCGUGUUUCGGCACGGUGUACUCAGCAGUACUAGGCCAAGGUGGGGUGUUUGGGAGUGAAAAAGAAGUUGGAACGUAACUCUUCGGAGUGUUAUAGCCUACUUUCAUAGCUCCUCAGGCGCCUCAGGACUGCGCUUCGGCAAGGACCUUGGCAUAAUGAUUCUAUACCGCCCGUCUUGAAAAGG